CUUGGCAACACUUGCUUACGAGUCACAGUGUGUACUUCCUGAUUUAACUGACCAAUGACUGGUUCAGGAUUGAAGAAUGGAAACACCUGGAUUAUCACUACAGGAAGGAACCAGUACCAGAGACCCAGCAAGUAGUACGGCGUCCAGCAAACUAUGAAAGACGUCACUAUGACUAUGCUCAUUUUCAAAGUCCUCAUACGGGCCUUCGGGAUGUUGCUGUUGGAACGUCGCGGAAUGCAAAUUAGUUACAGGAACUUGCUACUGCCAAUAUAUACGCUGCUACACUACU